AUUGAACGCUGGCGGCAGGCUUAACACAUGCAAGUCGAGCGAGCGGAGGACGGGGGAGGAAUGUCUGGGAAACUGCCUGAUGGAGGGGGAUAACUACUGGAAACGGUAGCUAAUACCGCAUACCAUCAGAUGUGCCCAGAUGGGAUUAGCUAGUAGUGGGGGGAAUGGCUCACCUAGGCGACGAUCACUAGCUGGUCUGAGAGGAUGACCAGCAACACUGGAAUGUAUACACGGUCCAGACUCCUACGGGAGGCAGCAGUGGUGAAUAGUGCACAAUUGUCGCAAGCCUGAUGCAGCCAUGCCGCGUGUGUGAAGAAGGCCUUCGGGUUGUAAAGCACUUUCAGCGAGGAGGCGUUACUCGCAGAAGAAGCACCGGCUAACUCCGUUCCAGCAGCCGCGGUAAUAC
rnacentral:rRNA from 1 species